rnacentral:rRNA from 1 species
AGGGUGAAAGGGUUGCAAUAAACUGGUGGCUGCGACUGUUUAAUAAAAACACAGCACUCUGCAAACACGAAAGUGGACGUAUAGGGUGUGACGCCUGCCCGGUGCUGGAAGAUUAAAUGAUGGGGUGCAAGCUCUUGAUUGAAGUCCCAGUAAACGGCGGCCGUAACUAUAACGGUCCUAAGGUAGCGAAAUUCCUUGUCGGGUAAGUUCCGACCUGCACGAAUGGCGUAACGAUGGCCACACUGUCUCCUCCCGAGACUCAGCGAAGUUGAAAUGUUUGUGAUGAUGCAAUCUACCCGCGGCUAGACGGAAAGACCCCAUGAACCUUUACUGUAGCUUUGCAUUGGACUUUGAAUCAAUCUGUGUAGGAUAGGUGGGAGGCUUUGAAG